AUGCAUAAACGGGUUGAGGAGGAUGAAAGCUGUUCAGCAGAUAAAGCCAUAGCAGCCUGUCGGAAUCCUGCCACGCUGGCCUUGAUUUAUGACCAUCUCAGUCAGACUCCCUACCAAAGCCACCCGCUACCUUUUUGCUCAGUGGAAAUGCUCAUGUUUGAGCCGAUAGUACAACCAAAGUUCGCAAACACACAAGGGACGUGGUCUGGUUCGUCACACUGAACCUGAGGACACAGCCGAUGUCUCUGAGUAGCACUCUGAUGUUCCCAGUUUCUCCUCUCUCGCACAACAUUAAAAAGUCUGGAUAAAAGGUAAGGAAUAAGCUUUAUUAACUUUAAAAAUGCAUGAUGUUUCUGAGAAAAGUGCAGUACGGCAUCGAGAAACGUCCAAAAGCUUGACUACUUAUUUCUCCUUAUUUUUUUCCCUCUUCCUCUCUCCUUCUCAAAAAUUGUAAAUAAUUGAAAACAGAGAAGGGAAGGAAAGGGGGGAAAAGACACCAAGAUUCUGACACACUCUGCAUAAACAUCUCCUUAUUAGUGACCCUAGAUGCCCAGGGAGAUCACACACACGCAAGCGCCCUGCUGAGAGCUCAAAUGUCAGAGGUCAGUCUUCACCAUCAUAACCUCUACAGACGUUUCUUCCAGUCUUUCACAGGUGACUCAUAACUGUGAACGAUUAAGCGGUAAGGUCAGAGAGUUUGUGUAGUAUUGUGAAUAUAGUCAUGGCAAGAAAGCAUUGUUAGGCAAAGUGUUUCUUCAUAAAUGUUUAGUCAGGUAACUUAAAUAUGACUUUUGAAAGAAAUAAACACUUUUUAUUCAGAAAGGACACGUGAAAUUAAUAACAUUUGACAGUAAAGACAUUUAGAAUGUUACAAAAGAGUUCUUUUUUAAACAGAUGCUGUUCUUUUUAACGUUCUAUUCAUCAAAGAAUCCUUAAAAAUAUAUCACAAUAAGAAGCGACACAACAGUUUUCAACAUUGAUAAUGAUGAGAAAUGUUUCAUGUUUCAGCAUUGCACCACAGGAAUAAAUUGCAUUUUAAUAUAUAUUCAAAUAGAAAGCAGUUAUUUUAAAUUGCAAAAAUAUUUUACUAUUUUACUAUUUUUAUUGUAUUUUAAUAAAUGCAUCAUAAACACUACAAAAUCUUACAGAACCCAAACUUUUGAAUGUCAGUGUAUAUUUUGU
rnacentral:lncRNA from 12 species